CAAGGGCAGGGAUGUUAAAAUGGGCUUGUCCUACCCAUUUACGUCCAAGCCCGUUUAAUUUUCGUGUCCAUAUAAAGUCCAUUUACUUAACAAUAUUAAACGGGCUUCGUCGGGUUUGUCCACUUGUGUCCAUUUAAUAAACGGGUUUUGAUAAAAAUAACUGGACAGCCCAUUAAGUUCAUUUAAUUUUUUUUUCUCUUCAACCUAAUCUAUCGUCGUCGUUCUUCCUCCUUCUUCACCUCCUUGGCUCUUUGCCUCCUUACGAAAGAUCAAACUGCUCCAAAUGAGUUUCUGAUUCGAAUCAUGAAGCUUCUAGGGUUUCGAUUUGUCUUCUAGAGUCGUUGUUCUUCACCUCCUUGCCUCCUUUCAUCUCGUCACGAGAUUCCCGAGAUUCCCGUGUCUUCUACUUCUUCUUCUUCACUCUCUCCAGCUCGUGUUUCCUCGUAUCAUACAAUCAAGGUUUCACGGACAUAUGCAAAGGAGUCUCAAAAAUUGCAACCAAAGCUGAGAUUAAAAGUGAGAUGGACUAUGAUACUGUGCACACAAUGGCGCUUCUUGAAGCUCAACGUGAAUACAUGGACAUGAAUGAUGAAGAUGCUGAAUUUGAUAUAGAUGAAGAAAUGGCAGAAACAGAAACAGAAGCAGAAGCAGAAGUUCAGUGUGAACCACAAGCCACUGCAUCAACACAAGCAGCGAAACCUCAACGUGCCAUUGAAGAUCUCUUUGAUGAAAAUGAAGAUGUUGGAAAGAAAGCAAGUAAUUAUGGAGUGGAGUCUUCAGCAUCAAAAGAUUGAUAUGUUUGCUGGAACAAAAAUCCUGGUAGACGUUCAAGAAGGAAAAGAGUAACUUAUAGACACUUAGUGUGAAGUGUGAACUUUAUUUUUCAAUUAUGUUGUGACUGUGAUUUGUAAACUUUGAAUUUUUAGUUGAAGCAAAACAAUGUAAGGUUCUGGAUUCAUAUUUUAUUUGACAGGUAUUUAACAGGUUUCAUCGAAAAGAAAUGCUAUGAUAUAAA